rnacentral:rRNA from 1 species
GCAAGUCGUACGAGAAGUUGGUGCUUGCACCAAUGGACAGUGGCGCACGGGUGAGUAACGCGUGGGAAUUUACCAUGGAGUGGGGGACAACAGUUGGAAACGACUGCUAAUACCGCAUAAUCCCUUAGGGGGAAAGAUUUAUCGCUCUAUGAUGAGCCCGCGUUAGAUUAGGUAGUUGGUGAGGUAACGGCUCACCAAGCCGACGAUCUAUAGCUGGUCUGAGAGGACGACC